rnacentral:rRNA from 1 species
GAUCCUGGCUCAGGAUGAACGCUAGCGGCAGGCUUAACACAUGCAAGUCGAGGGGUAUGCCGAUUUAUCGGCAGAGACCGGCGCACGGGUGCGUAAACGCGUAUGCAAUCUACCUUUCACAGAGGGAUAGCCCAGAGAAAUUUGGAUUAAUACCUCAUAGUAUAGCAGUUUCGUAUGAAACCACUAUUAAAGUUCCAACGGUGAAAGAUGAGCAUGCGUCCCAUUAGCUUGUUGGUAAGGUAACGGCUUACCAAGGCAACGAUGGGUAGGGGGUCCUGAGAGGGAGAUCCCCCACACUGGUACUGAGACACGGACCAGACUCCUACGGGAGGCAGCAGUGAGGAAUAUUGGACAAUGGGCGCAAGCCUGAUCCAGCCAUGCCGCGUGCAGGAUGACGGUCCUAUGGAUUGUAAACUGCUUUUGUACAGGAAGAAACACUCCGACGUGUCGGAGCUUGACGGUACCGUAAGAAUAAGCACCGGCUAACUACGUG